GCGGCCGCAGCCCCAUCCAGCCCCGCGCCCGCCAUGCCGUCCGCCGGCCCCGCCUGAGCCGCGGCCUCCGCGCGCGGGCGGGCCUGGGGACGGCGGGGCCAUGCGCGCGCUGCCCUAACGAUGCCGCCCGCCGCGCCCGCCCGCCUGGCGCUGGCCCUGGGCCUGGGCCUGUGGCUCGGGGCGCUGGCGGGGGGCCCCGGGCGCGGCUGCGGGCCUUGCGAGCCCCCCUGCCUCUGCGGCCUAGCGCCCGGCGCCGCCUGCCGCGUCAACUGCUCGGGCCGCGGGCCGCGGGCUGCGGACGCUCGGUCCCGCGCUGCGCAUCCCCGCGGACGCCACAGCGCUAGACGUCUCCCACAACCUGCUCCGGGCGCUGGACGUUGGGCUCCUGGCGAACCUCUCGGCGCUGGCAGAGCUGGAUAUAAGCAACAACAAGAUUUCUACGUUAGAAGAAGGAAUAUUUGCUAAUUUAUUUAAUUUAAGUGAAAUAAACCUGAGUGGGAACCCGUUUGAGUGUGACUGUGGCCUGGCGUGGCUGCCGCGAUGGGCGGAGGAGCAGCAGGUGCGGGUGGUGCAGCCCGAGGCAGCCACGUGUGCUGGGCCUGGCUCCCUGGCUGGCCAGCCUCUGCUUGGCAUCCCCUUGCUGGACAGUGGCUGUGGUGAGGAGUAUGUCGCCUGCCUCCCUGACAACAGCUCAGGCACCGUGGCAGCAGUGUCCUUUUCAGCUGCCCACGAAGGCCUGCUUCAGCCAGAGGCCUGCAGCGCCUUCUGCUUCUCCACCGGCCAGGGCCUCGCAGCCCUCUCCGAGCAGGGCUGGUGCCUGUGUGGGUCAGCCCAGCCCUCCAGUGCCUCCUUCGCCUGCCUGUCCCUCUGCUCCGGCCCCCCGCCGCCUCCUGCCCCCACCUGUAGGGGCCCCACCCUCCUCCAGCACGUCUUCCCUGCCUCCCCAGGGGCCACCCUGGUGGGGCCCCACGGACCCCUGGCCUCCGGCCAGCUAGCAGCCUUCCACAUCGCUGCCCCGCUCCCUGUCACUGCCACACGCUGGGACUUCGGAGACGGCUCCCCCGAGGUGGAUGCCGCUGGGCCGGCUGCCUCGCAUCGCUAUGUGCUGCCUGGGCGCUAUCACGUGAUGGCCGUGCUGGCCCUGGGGGCCGGCUCAGCCCUGCUGGGGACAGACGUGCAGGUGGAAGCGGCACCUGCCGCCCUGGAGCUCGUGUGCCCGUCCUCGGUGCAGAGUGACGAGAGCCUCGACCUCAGCAUCCAGAACCGCGGUGGUUCAGGCCUGGAGGCCGCCUACAGCAUCGUGGCCCUGGGCGAGGAGCCGGCCCGAGCGGUGCACCCGCUCUGCCCCUCGGACACGGAGAUCUUCUCUGGCAACGGGCACUGCUACCGCCUGGUGGUGGAGAAGGCGGCCUGGCUGCAGGCGCAGGAGCAGUGUCGGGCCUGGGCCGGGGCCGCCCUGGCAAUGGUGGACAGUCCCGCCAUGCAGCGCUUCCUGGUCUCCCGGGUCACCAGGAGCCUAGACAUGUGGAUCGGCUUCUCGACUGUGCAGGGGGUGGAGGUGGGCCCAGCCCCGCAGGGCGAGGCCUUCAGCCUGGAGAGCUGCCAGAACUGGCUGCCCGGGGAGCCACACCCAGCCACAGCCGAGCACUGCGUCCGGCUCGGGCCCACCGGGUGGUGUAACACCGACCUGUGCUCAGCGCCGCACAGCUACGUCUGCGAGCUGCGGCCUGGAGGCCCAGUGCAGGAUGCCGAGAACCUCCUCGUGGGAGCGCCCAGUGGGGACCUGCAGGGACCCCUGAUGCCUCUGGCACGGCAGGACGGCCUCUCAGCCCCGCAUGAGCCCGUGGAGGUCAUGGUAUUCCCGGGCCUGCGUCUGAGCCGUGAAGCCUUCCUCACCACGGCCGAAUUUGGGACCCAGGAGCUCCGGCGGCCCGCCCAGCUGCGGCUGCAGGUGUACCGGCUCCUCAGCACAGCAGGGACCCCGGAGAACGGCAGCGAGCCUGAGAGCAGGUCCCCGGACAACAGGACCCAGCUGGCCCCCGCGUGCAUGCCAGGGGGACGCUGGUGCCCUGGAGCCAACAUCUGCUUGCCGCUGGACGCCUCCUGCCACCCCAGGCCUGCGCCAAUGGCUGCACGUCAGGGGCCAGGGCUACUCGGGGCCCCCUAUGCGCUAUGGAGAGAGUUCCUCUUCUCCGUUCCCGCGGGGCCCCCCGCGCAGUACUCGGUCACCCUCCACGGCCAGGAUGUCCUCAUGCUCCCUGGUGACCUCGUUGGCUUGCAGCACGACGCUGGCCCUGGCGCCCUCCCGCACUGCUCGCCGGCUCCCGGCCACCCUGGUCCCCAGGCCCCGUACCUCUCCGCCAACGCCUCGUCAUGGCUGCCCCACUUGCCAGCCCAGCUGGAGGGCACUUGGGCCUGCCCUGCCUGUGCCCUGCGGCUGCUUGCAGCCACGGAACAGCUCACCGUGCUGCUGGGCCUGAGGCCCAACCCUGGGCUGCGGCUGCCUGGGCGCUAUGAGGUCCGGGCAGAGGUGGGCAAUGGCGUGUCCAGGCACAACCUGUCCUGCAGCUUUGACGUGGUCUCCCCAGUGGCUGGGCUGCGGGUCAUCUACCCUGCCCCCCGCGACGGCCGCCUCUACGUGCCCACCAACGGCUCAGCCUCGGUGCUCCAGGUGGACUCUGGUGCCAGCGCCACGGCCACGGCUCGCUGGCCUGGGGGCAGUGUCAGCGCUCGCUUUGAGAAUGCCUGCCCUGCCCUGGUGGCCACCUUCGUGCCCGGCUGCCCCUGGGAGACCAAUGAUACCCUGUUCUCAGUGGUAGCACUGCCGUGGCUCGGUGAGGGGGAGCACGUGAUGGACGUUGUGGUGGAAAACAGCGCCAGCCGGGCCAACCUCAGCCUGCGGGUGACGGCGGAGGAGCCCAUCUGUGGCCUCCGCGCCACGCCCAGCCCCGAGGCCCGUGUACUGCAGGGAGUCCCAGUGAGGUACAGCCCCGUGGUGGAGGCCGGCUCGGACAUGGUCUUCCGGUGGACCAUCAACGACAAGCAGUCCCUGACCUUCCAGAACGUGGUCUUCAAUGUCAUUUAUCAGAGCGCGGCGGUCUUCAAGCUCUCACUGACGGCCUCCAACCACGUGAGCAACGUCACCGUGAACUACAACAUCACCGUGGAGCGGAUGAACAGGAUGCAGGGCCUGCGGGUCUCCACAGUGCCGGCCGUGCUGUCCCCCAAUGCCACGCUGGCACUGACGGCGGGCGUGCUGGUGGACUCGGCUGUGGAGGUGGCCUUCCUGUGGACCUUUGGGGAUGGGGAGCAGGCCCUCCACCAGUUCCAGCCUCCGUACAACGAGUCCUUCCCAGUUCCAGACCCCUCGGUGGCCCAGGUGCUGGUGGAGCACAAUGUCACGCACACCUACGCUGCCCCAGGUGAGUACGUCCUGACCGUGCUGGCAUCUAAUGCCUUCGAGAACCGGAUGCAGCAGGUGCCUGUGAGCGUGCGCGCCUCCCUGCCCUCCGAGGCUGUGGGUGUGAGUGACGGCGUCCUGGUGGCCGGCCGGCCCGUCACCUUCUACCCGCAUCUGCUGCCCUCGCCUGGGGGUGUUCUUUACACGUGGGACUUCGGGGACGGCUCCCCUGUCCUGACCCAGAGCCAGCCGGCUGCCAACCACACCUAUCCCUCGAGGGGCAUCUACCACGUGCGCCUGGAGGUCAACAACACGGUGAGCGGUGCGGCGGCCCAGGCGGAUGUGCGCGUCUUUGAGGAGCUCCGCGGGCUCAGCGUGGACAUGAGCCUGGCCGUGGAGCAGGGCGCCCCCGUGGUGGUCAGUGCCGCGGUGCAGACGGGCGACAACAUCACGUGGACCUUCGACAUGGGGGACGGCACCGUGCUGUCGGGCCCAGAGGCCACAGUGGAGCAUGUGUACCUGCGGGCACAGAACUGCACAGUGACCGUGGGUGCGGCCAGCCCCGCCGGCCACCUGGCCCGGAGCCUGCACGUGCUGGUCUUCGUCCUGGAGGUGCUGCGCGUCGAGCCCGCCGCCUGCAUCCCCACUCAGCCUGACGCGCGGCUCACGGCCUACGUCACCGGGAACCCGGCCCGCUACCUCUUCGACUGGACCUUUGGGGAUGGCUCCUCCAACACGACCAUGCGGGGGUGCCCGACGGUGACACACAACUUCACGCGUAGCGGCACGUUCCCCCUGGCGCUGGUGCUGUCCAGCCGCGUGAACAGGGCGCGUUACUUCACCAGCAUCUGCGUGGAGCCAGAGGUGGGCAACGUCACCCUGCAGCCAGAGAGGCAGUUUGUGCAGCUCGGGGACGAGGCCCGGCUGGUGGCAUGUGCCUGGCCCCCGUUCCCCUACCGCUACACCUGGGACUUUGGCACCGAAGAAGCCGUCCCCGCCCGUGUCGGGGGCCCUGAGGUGACGUUCAUCUACCGAGACCCAGGCUCCUAUCUUGUGACAGUCACCGCGUCCAACAACAUCUCCGCUGCCAAUGACUCAGCCCUGGUGGAGGUGCAGGAGCCCGUGCUGGUCACCAGCAUCAAGGUCAAUGGCUCCCUUGGGCUGGAGCUGCAGCAGCCGUACCUGUUCUCUGCUGUGGGCCGUGGGCGCCCCGCCAGCUACCUGUGGGAUCUGGGGGACGGUGGGCGGCUCGAGGGUCCGGAGGUCACCCACGCUUACAACAGCACAGGUGACUUCACCGUUAGGGUGGCCGGCUGCAAUGAGGUGAGCCGCAGCGAGGCCUGGCUCAAUGUGACGGUGAAGCGGCGCGUGCGGGGGCUCAUCGUCAAUGCCAGCUGCACGGUGGUGCCCCUGAAUGGGAGCAUGAGCUUCAGCACCUCGCUGGAGGCCGGCAGUGAUGUGCGCUAUUCCUGGGUGCUCUGUGACCGCUGCACGCCCAUCUCUGGGGGUCCUGCCAUCUCUUUACACCUUCCGCUCCGUGGGCACCUUCAAUAUCAUCGUCACAGCUGAGAACGAGGUGGGCUCCGCCCAGGACAGCAUCUUCGUCUAUGUCCUGCAGCUCAUAGAGGGGCUGCAGGUGGUGGGCGGUGGCCGCUACUUCCCCACCAACCACAUGGUACAGCUGCAGGCCGUGGUCAGGGACGGCACCAUCUCCUACAGCUGGACUGCCUGGAGGGACAGGGGCCCGGCCCUGGCCGGCAGCGGCAAAGGCUUCUCGCUCACCGCGCUCGAGGCCGGCUCCUACCAUGUGCAGCUGCGGGCCACCAACAUGCUGGGCAGCGCCUGGGCUGACUGCACCGUGGACUUCGUGGAGCCUGUGGGGUGGCUGAUGGUGGCCGCCUCCCCGAACCCAGCUGCCGUCAACACAAGCGUCACCCUCAGUGCCGAGCUGGCUGGUGGCAGUGGUGUCGUAUACACUUGGUCCUUGGAGGAGGGGCUGAGCUGGGAGACCCCCGAGCCAUUUACCACCCACAGCUUCCCCACACCCGGCCUGCACUUGGUCACCAUGACGGCAGGGAACCCGCUGGGCUCAGCCAACGCCACCGUGGAAGUGGAUGUGCAGGUGCCUGUGAGUGGCCUCAGCAUCAGGGCCAGCGAGCCGGGAGGCAGCUUCGUGGCGGCCGGGUCCUCUGUGCCCUUUUGGGGGCAGCUGGCCACGGGCACCAAUGUGAGCUGGUGCUGGGCUGUGCCCGGCGGCAGCAGCAAGCGUGGCCCUCAUGUCACCAUGGUCUUCCCGGAUGCUGGCACCUUCAACAUCUGGCUCAAUGCCUCCAACGCAGUCAGCUGGGUCUCAGCCACGUACAACCUCACGGUGGAGGAGCCCAUCGUGGGCCUGGUGCUGUGGGCCAGCAGCAAGGUGGUGGCGCCCGGGCAGCUUGUCCAUUUUCAGAUCCUGCUGGCUGCCGGCUCAGCUGUCACCUUCCGCCUGCAGGUCGGCGGGGCCAGCCCCGAAGUGCUCCCUGGGCCCCGUUUCUCCCACAGCUUCCCCCGCAUCGGAGACCACGUGGUGAGCGUGCAGGGCAAAAACCACGUGAGCUGGGCCCAGGCGCAGGUGCGCAUCGUGGUGCUGGAGGCCGUGAGCGGGCUGCAGGUGCCCAACUGCUGUGAGCCUGGCAUCGCCAUGGGCACUGAGAGGAACUUCACAGCCCGCGUGCAGCGCGGCUCUCGGGUCGCCUACGCCUGGUACUUCUCGCUGCAGAAGGUCCGGGGCGACUCUCUGUUCAUCCUGUCGGGCCGCGACGUCACCUACACGCCGUGGCCGCGGGGCUGUUGGAGAUCCAGGUGCGUGCCUUCAACGCCCUGGGCAGUGAGAACCGCACGCUGGUGCUGGAGGUUCAGGACGCCGUCCAGUAUGUGGCCCUGCGCAGCGGCCCCUGCUUCACCAACCGCUCGGCGCAGUUUGAGGCCGCCACCAGCCCCAGCCCCCGGCGCGUGGCCUACCACUGGGACUUUGGGGAUGGGUCCCCAGGGCAGGACACAGAUGAGCCCAGGGCCGAGCACUCCUACCUGAGGCCUGGGGACUACCGCGUGCAGGUGAACGCCUCCAACCUGGUGAGCUUUUUCGUGGCGCAGGCCACGGUGACCGUCCAGGUGCUGGCCUGCCGGGAGCCGGAGGUGGACGUGGUCCUGCCCCUGCAGGUGCUGAUGCGACGAUCACAGCGCAACUGCCUGGAUGCCUACGUUGACCUGCGCGACUGUGUCACCUACCAGACUGAGUACCGCUGGGAGGUGUACCGCACCGCCAGCUGCCAGCGGCCGGGGCGCCCGGCGCGUGUGGCCCUGCCCGGCGUGGACGUGAGCCGGCCUCAGCUGGUGCUGCCGUGGCUGGCGCUGCCUGUGGGGCACUACUGCUUUGUGUUUGUCGUGUCAUUUGGGGACACGCCACUGGCACGGAGCAUCCAGGCCAAUGUGACGGUGGCCCCCGAGCGCCUGGUGCCCAUCACUGAGGGUGGCUCCUACCGCGUGUGGUCAGACACACAGGACCUGGUGCUGGAUGGGAGCGAGUCCUACGACCCCAACCUGGAGGACGGCGACCAGACGCCGCUCAGUUUCCAGUGGGCCUGUGUGGCUUCGACACAGAGGGAGGCUGGCGGGUGUGCGCUGAACUUUGGGCCCCGCGGGAGCAGCACGGUCACCAUUCCACGGGAACGGCUGGCAGCUGGCGUGGAGUACACCUUCAGCCUCACCGUGUGGAAGGCCGGCCGCAAGGAGGAGGCCACCAACCAGACGGUGCUGAUCCGGAGUGGCCGGGUGCCCAUUGUGUCCUUGGAGUGUGUGUCCUGCAAGGCACAGGCCGUGUACGAAGUGAGCCGCAGCUCCUACGUGUACCUGGAGGGCCGCUGCCUCAAUUGCAGCAGCGGCUCCAAGCGAGGGCGGUGGGCUGCACGUACGUUCAGCAACAAGACACUGGUGCUGGAUGAGACCACCACAUCCACGGGCAGCGCAGGCAUGUGACUGGUGCUGCGGCGGGGCGUGCUGCGGGACGGCGAGGGAUACACCUUCACGCUGACGGUGCUGGGCCGCUCUGGCGAGGAGGAGGGCUGUGCCUCCAUCCCCCUGUCCCCCAACCGCCCGCCGCUGGAGGGCUCUUGCCGCCUCUUCCCACUGGGCGCUGUGCACGCCCUCACCACCAAGGUGCACUUCGAAUGCACGGGCUGGCAUGACGCGGAGGAUGCUGGCGCCCCGCUGGUGUACGCCCUGCUGCUGCAGCGCUGUUGCCAGGGCCACUGCAAAGAGUUCUGUGUCUACAAGAGCAGCCUCUCCGGCUACGGAGCCGUGCUGCCCCCGGGUUUCAGGCCACACUUCGAGGUGGGCCUGGCCGUGGUGGUGCAGGACCAGCUGGGAGCCGCUGUGGUCGCCCUCAACAGGUCUCUGGCCAUCACCCUCCCAGAGCCCAACGGCAGCGCAAUGGGGCUCACAGUCUGGCUGCACGGGCUCACCGCUAGUGUGCUCCCGGGGCUGCUGCGGCAGGCCGAUCCCCAGCACGUCAUCGAGUACUCGCUGGCCCUGGUCACUGUGCUGAACGAGUACGAGCGGGCCCUGGACGUGGCGGCAGAGCCCAAGCACGAGCGGCAGCGCCGAGCCCAGAUACGCAAGAACAUCACGGAGACUCUGGUGUCCCUGAGGGUCCACACUGUGGAUGACAUCCAGCAGAUCGCUGCUGCGCUGGCCCAGUGCAUGGGGCCCAGAUGUGGGGAGGGACUAAGAAGAUGCUGCUCUGUGCCCUCCACUCUCCCCUCCCCUCCCCCUUCCCUCCCCUAGCCCCUCCCCUCCCCUUUCCCUCCCCUAACCCCUCCCCUCCCCCUUCCCUCCCCUAGCCCCUCCCCCCUCACCUAGCCCCUGCCUCCUCCCCUAGCCCCUCCCCUCCCCUAGCCCUUCCCCUCCUCCCCUCCCCUAGAGCUUCCCCUCACCUCAUCCCUCCCUUUUCUCCAUCUCUCUCCCCUUUUCUCCAUUUCCCCCCCGAUCCUCCCCGUCCUUUUGUCCAUUCCCCUCAUCUUUCUUAUCCCCCUUAUCCUCCUUCCCCUCCCUUAUCCCCCUUCCCCUCCCUUAUCCCCCUUAUCCCCUUCCCCUCCCUUUCCCCCUGCUCCUCUUCUUCUCCCCUUUCUCUUUUCUCUACCCUUUUCCUUCCUUUUUCCUCCCUCUCCCCAUCAUCCCCCUCAUCUUCGUCCUCAUCCCCAUCCCCUUCCCCCUCCCCCUCCACCACUCUCUCUCCAGCUUCCCUCUUCCUUCUGCCUGCACCUCGCUCUCUGCCCCCUCAGGUUCCCCCUUUCUCCCAGUCCCCACCCUCCGGCUCCCCCUUUUUGCCUGCCCCCACCCUCCCUCUGCCUCCCUGUCUCUGCACUGACCUCACGCCUGUCUGCAGGAGACCUCAUCCACCUGGCCAGCUCAGACGUGCGGGCACCACAGCGCUCAGAGCUGGGAGCCGAGUCACCAUCGCGGAUGGUGGCGUCCCAGGCCUACAACCUGACCUCUGCCCUCACGCCCAUCGUCACGCGCUCCCGCGUGCUCAACGAGGAGCCCCUGACGCUGGCGGGCUUUCAGCAGGGCCCCGGCCAACCUCAGUGACGUGGUGCAGCUCAUCUUUCUGGUGGACUCCAAUCCCUUUCCCUUUGGCUAUAUCAGCAACUACACCGUCUCCACCAAGGUGGCCUCGAUGGCGUUCCAGACACAGGCCGGCGCCCAGAUCCCCAUCGAGCGGCUGGCCUCAGAGCGCGCCUCACCGUGAAGGCCGCUACCUGUCUGAGGAACCCGAGCCCUACCUGGCAGUCUACCUGCACUCGGAGCCCCGGCCCAAUGAGCGCAACUGCUCGGCUAGCAGGAGGAUCCGCCCAGAGUCCCUCCAGGGUGCCGACCACCGGCCCUACACCUUCUUCAUUUCCCCGGGGACCAGAGACCCAGUGGGGAGUUACCGUCUGAACCUCUCCAGCCACUUCCGCUGGUCGGCGCUGGAGGUGUCCGUGGGCUUGUACACGUCCCUGUGCCAGUACUUCAGCGAGGAGGACGUGGUGUGGCGGACAGAGGGGCUGCUGCCCCUGGAGGAGACCUCGCCCCGCCAGGCCGUCUGCCUCACCCGCCACCUCACCGCCUUCGGCACCAGCCUCUUCGUGCCCCCAAGCCAUAUCCGCUUUGUGUUUCCUGAGCCAACAGCGGAUGUAAACUACAUCGUCAUGCUGACAUGUGCUGUGUGCCUGGUGACCUACAUGGUCAUGGCCGCCAUCCUGCACAAGCUGGACCAGUUGGAUGCCAGCCGGGGCUGCGCCAUCCCCUUCUGUGGGCAGCGGGGCCGCUUCAAGUACGAGAUCCUCGUCAAGACAGGCUGGGGCCGGGGCUCAGGUACCACGGCCCACGUGGGCAUCAUGCUGUAUGGGGUGGACAGCCGGAGCGGCCACCGGCACCUGGACGGCGACAGAGCCUUCCACCGCAACAGUCUGGACAUCUUCCAGAUCGCCACCCCGCACAGCCUGGGUAGCAUGUGGAAGAUCCGAGUGUGGCACGACAACAAAGGGCUCAGCCCUGCCUGGUUCCUGCAGCACAUCAUCGUCAGGGACCUGCAGACGGCACGCAGCACCUUCUUCCUGGUCAAUGACUGGCUUUCGGUGGAGACGGAGGCCAACGGGGGCCUGGUGGAGAAGGAGGUGCUGGCCGCGAGUCACGCAGCCCUGUUGCGCUUCCGGCGCCUGCUGGUGGCUGAGCUGCAGCGUGGCUUCUUUGACAAGCACAUCUGGCUCUCCAUAUGGGACCGGCCGCCUCGUAGCUGUUUCACUCGCAUCCAGAGGGCCACCUGCUGCGAUCUCCUCAUCUGUCUCUUCCUGGGCGCCAACGCCGUGUGGUACGGGGCUGUUGGAGACUCUGCCUACAGCACGGGGCGUGUGUCCAGGCUGAACCCGCUGAGCGUCGACACAGUCGCUGUUGGCCUGGUGUCCAGCGUGGUUGUCUAUCCCGUCUACCUGGCCAUCCUCUUUCUCUUCCGGAUGUCCCGGAGCAAGGUGGCUGGGAGCCCGAGCCCCACACCUGCCGGGCAGCAGGUGCUGGACGUCGACAGCUGCCUGGACUCAUCCGUGCUGGACAGCUCCUUCCUCACGUUCUCAGGCCUCCACGCUGAGGUGAGGGCUCUACUGGGGGUCCUGCCGCCUUGGCGCAGCUUGGACUCAAGACCCUGUGCACCUCUCAGCAGGCCUUUGCUGGACAGAUGAAGAGUGACUUGUUUCUGGAUGAUUCUAAGAGGUUAUCAAUACUCUGGCUGACCAUCGUCAUCGUGGGACUGACUUUGGUGGAAGUCCUUGGUUACUUAUCAUUACUGUGUUUCUGAGAAGUUAUAAAUUUGCCAUCUCCCUCUGCACAAGUUACCUUUGUGUGUCUUUCCUGAAGACUAUCUUCCCGUCUCAAAAUGGACAUGAUGGAUCCACGGAUGUACAGCAGAGAGCCAGGAGGUCCAACUGCCGUAGACAGGAAGGAAUUAAAAUUGUCCUGGAAGACAUCUUUACUUUAUGGAGACAGGUGGAAACCAAAGUUCGAGCUAAAAUCCGUAAGAUGAAGGUGACAACAAAAGUCAACCGUCAUGACAAAAUCAAUGGAAAGAGGAAGACCGCCAAAGAACAUCUGAGGAAACUAAGCAUGAAAGAACGUGAGCACGGAGAAAAGGAGAGGCAGGUGUCAGAGGCAGAGGAAAAUGGGAAAUUGGAUAUGAAAGAAAUACACACCUACAUGGAAAUGUUUCAACGUGCGCAAGCGUUGCGGCGGCGGGCAGAGGACUACUACAGAUGCAAAAUCACCCCUUCUGCAAGAAAGCCUCUUUGCAACCGGGUCAGAAUGGCGGCAGUGGAGCAUCGUCAUUCUUCAGGAUUGCCCUACUGGCCCUACCUCACAGCUGAAACUUUAAAAAACAGGAUGGGCCACCAGCCACCUCCUCCAACUCAACAACAUUCUAUAAUUGAUAACUCCCUGAGCCUCAAGACACCUUCCGAGUGUGUGCUCUAUCCCCUUCCACCCUCAGCGGAUGAUAAUCUCAAGACACCUCCCGAGUGUCUGCUCACUCCCCUUCCACCCUCAGCUCUACCCUCAGCGGAUGAUAAUCUCAAGACACCUGCCGAGUGCCUGCUCUAUCCCCUUCCACCCUCAGCGGAUGAUAAUCUCAAGACACCUCCCGAGUGUCUGCUCACUCCCCUUCCACCCUCAGCUCCACCCUCAGCGGAUGAUAAUCUCAAGACACCUCCUGAGUGUGUCUGCUCACUCCCCUUCCACCCUCAGCGGAUGAUAAUCUCAAGAAACUAAGGAAGAAUAAAUAAAU